AAAGAAAAUAAUAGAAGGAUUGGAGCGGAGAAGGAGAAGGGAACGCCAGGAGCUUCAAGCUUCAAACACGGAAAAGUCCACCACUGUGGUUCGUGUCUCGUUCUGUGUUUCGCGUUCUCACCGGUUCAGUAGCAGCAAUCCAGGAGCUUCAAGCUUCAAACACGGAAAAGUCCACCACUGUGGUUCGUGUCUCGUUCUGUGUUUCGCGUUCUCACCG